AUAUAGCUUAGUUGGGAGAGCGUUAGACUGAAGAUCUAAAGGUCCACGGUUCAAUCCCGGGUUU
rnacentral:tRNA from 1 species